GGAUAGGAGCAGGUGUUGCUCUUACAGAGGGCCAGAGUUCACAUGUUCUCAAGGACAGAACUAAGAGCCAAAUUCCACAAACAAGCUGAUUCCACUGUGACAAUGAUGAAACUUCCAACUACUCCUGACCAUGGAGCCUGCCCUACAGGAUGGCUGAUACAUUUACUAUGAGAGUCAAUUUAAGAAAAUUGGCUUCCCUUACGAGCAGAUAGAAAGUUUGAGAAAUGGAUGGAGAAGAAAUCACUCCAGCUUAUGGAAGUUGGCAGAACAAAGUGGGAAUUUUUCCUUAUGCUAAAGACAAUGCGAAGAUUGCUGAAUGACUAUAAAAAUAAUGGGCCUCAGAGCCAAUAAAAAC
rnacentral:lncRNA from 1 species